rnacentral:tRNA from 5 species
GGGCCCGUGGGUUAGCUUGGCCUAUACUUGGCGGCUGGGGGUCGUCAGACCCCGGUUCAAAUCCGGGCGGGCCCACCA